rnacentral:rRNA from 1 species
UACGUAGGGUGCAAGCGUUGUCCGGAAUUAUUGGGCGUAAAGAGCUCGUAGGCGGUCUGUCGCGUCGGCUGUGAAAUCCCGGAGCUCAACUCCGGGUCUGCAGUCGAUACGGGCAAACUGGAGUACUGCAGGGGAGACUGGAAUUCCUGGUGUAGCGGUGAAAUGCGCAGAUAUCAGGAGGAACACCGGUGGCGAAGGCGGGUCUCUGGGAAACAACUGACGCUGAGGAACGAAAGCGUGGGUAGCAAACAGG